UAACCGCCUGAGCCACCCAAGUAGGCGCCCCUACUUGGUCUUAAUUUGCUUUUUGUUCCUUCAGUAUAAAAUAGGAAUAAUAAUACCUACCCAACUUCCUUAAAGGCUUAACUCGAUGAUAAUGAGGUAUUAGGUAGGAAAGAACUUUAAAAAGUUAAAGGUACCGUGACUAGAUUUUAGUAUUAGAAAUCGUCCUUAGUGAUGAACAUAUGUAGAAAAUUCCUUCUUUUACAAUGUUAGUAUGGCAUUUCUUAGAGUUAGAGCUGCAAGGGGUGGCAUCUUAACAGUUUUAAGCCAAAACGUAGCUGAGAGGAAAGUACACUGAACUUUUACAUUCAAGUUGUCAUAGCUCUACUAAAUAAAAAAAUCUAUAUAUAUGUCAAGGCUUACAAUUUAUGAACAUGGCGACUAAUAUUUUAGUAUCGAGAAACUACAGGUGGCCUAUACUCAGGCAUUACCUUCUUUGCUUAAGAUUCGGUGAAUAUUAGAAGACCUAAAAAUGUUAAUUAUCAUAACAACUACAUUUUUACUGCACCGUAGCAAAUUGUCUUUUGUGGCUUUAAUCUGUUCUGGUUCUUAGGUACUUUGCAUUCUCCUUUCCAUUUCAGUCGACAUAUGAUAACAUUUUAUGCCGAUUUUAGAAUAAAUUUAUUAUAAGAUAACUGCUUUCAGUUAAAUUAACUUCAUGAUUUUGUGUACUGCCAAAAAGUCAGGGUGAUCUAAAGAGGAAAGUGUAGGGUUUCUUGUCAGUCUGUUUGAAUUGUGACUCCAGUGUUUACUGGGUGCUUAAUUUGACUUUAAGCCUUACUGAUUGGUAAGAUGGGCAUCCUAGUAUCUGCUUCUAAAGGUGGUGAAGAUUAAAUACAAUAAUAUAUAAAAUGUGCCUCACCCAGUAAGUAGUAUACAUUGGAUGUUGAAAUAAAGUUGUUCACCACCCUACCACUCCA